GAUGAAGAACGUAGCGAAAUGCGAUAAGUAAUGUGAAUUGCAGAAUUCAGUGAAUCAUCGAAUCUUUGAACGCACAUUGCGCCCGCCAGUAUUCUGGCGGGCAUGCCUGUUCGAGCGUCAUUUCAACCCUCAAGCCCAGCUUGGUGUUGGGGAUCGGCACAGGCGCCCUCGGGCGCCCGCCGUCCCCUAAAUCUAGUGGCGGUCCCGCUGCAGCCUCCUCUGCGUAGUAGUUUUCUCCUCGCAAGGGCAGCUCGGUGGUGACCUCGCCGUAAAACCCCCAACUUCUGAAAGGUUGACCUCGAAUCAGGUAGGAAUACCCGCUGAACUUAAGCAUAUCAAUAAGCGGAGGA
rnacentral:misc_RNA from 1 species